ACGCUCGACACCUACGGGAGGCAGCAGUCGGGAAUAUUGCGCAAUGGAGGAAACUCUGACGCAGUGACGCCGCGUAUAGGAAGAAGGUUUUCGGAUUGUAAACUAUUGUCGUUAGGGAAGAGAAAGGACAGUACCUAAGGAGGAAGCUCCGGCUAACUACGUGCAAGCAGCCGCGGUAAUCUGAGCGGGCUGGCAAGGC
rnacentral:rRNA from 1 species